rnacentral:rRNA from 1 species
UACGUAGGGCGCAAGCGUUGUCCGGAAUUAUUGGGCGUAAAGAGCUCGUAGGCGGUUUGUCACGUCGGCUGUGAAAACCCGAGGCUCAACCUCGGGCCUGCAGUCGAUACGGGCAGACUAGAGUGCUGUAGGGGAGACUGGAAUUCCUGGUGUAGCGGUGGAAUGCGCAGAUAUCGAGGAGGAACACCAAUAGCGAAGGCAGCUCGCUGGGACGUUACUGACACUGGAGGCGACGAAAGCGUGGGGAGCGAACAGG